rnacentral:rRNA from 1 species
GACGAACGCUGGCGGCGUGCCUAAUACAUGCAAGUAGAACGCUGAAGGAGGAGCUUGCUUCUCUGGAUGAGUUGCGAACGGGUGAGUAACGUGUAGGUAACCUGCCUGGUAGCGGGGGAUAACUAUUGGAAACGAUAGCUAAUACCGCAUAACAGUAGAUAUCGCAUGAUAUCUACUUGAAAGGUGCAAUUGCAUCACUACCAGAUGGACCUGCGUUGUAUUAGCUAGUUGGUGAGGUAACGGCUCACCAAGGCGACGAUACAUAGCCGACCUGAGAGGGUGAUCGGCCACACUGGGACUGAGACACGGCCCAGACUCCUACGGGAGGCAGCAGUAGGGAAUCUUCGGCAAUGGACGGAAGUCUGACCGAGCAACGCCGCGUGAGUGAAGAAGGUUUUCGGAUCGUAAAGCUCUGUUGUAAGAGAAGAACGAGUGUGAGAGUGGAAAGUUCACACUGUGACGGUAUCUUACCAGAAAGGGACGGCUAACUACGUG